CCCACCGAGAAUUGGAACAAGUGUUCGUGUUUUGGUGUUAUUCUGAAAAAAUGGAUAACAAGUUAAUCUCGAAUCUAGGUGGGUGGCU
ensembl:ncRNA T09D3.11 ncRNA